UGAGGAAUAUUGGUCAAUGGGCGCGAGCCUGAACCAGCCAAGUCGCGUGAGGGAUGACGGCCCUACGGGUUGUAAACUCUUUUGUCGGGGAGCAAAUUCCGUUACGUGUAACGGAGUCGAGAGUACCCGAAGAAAAAGCAUCGGCUAACUCCGUGCC
rnacentral:rRNA from 1 species